rnacentral:rRNA from 1 species
AGAGUUUGAUCCUGGCUCAGGAUGAACGCUAGCGAUAGGCUUAACACAUGCAAGUCGAGGGGCAGCAUGAUCUUAGCUUGCUAAGGUUGAUGGCGACCGGCGCACGGGUGCGUAACGCGUAUGCAACUUGCCUUACAGAGGGGGAUAACCCGUUGAAAGACGGACUAAAACCGCAUACACUUGUAUUAUUGCAUGAUAUUACAAGGAAAUAUUUAUAGCUGUAAGAUAGGCAUGCGUCCCAUUAGCUAGUUGGUGAGGUAACGGCUCACCAAGGCGACGAUGGGUAGGGGAACUGAGAGGUUUAUCCCCCACACUGGUACUGAGACACGGACCAGACUCCUACGGGAGGCAGCAGUGAGGAAUACUGGUCAAUGGGCGAGAGCCUGAACCAGCCAAGUCGCGUGAAGGAAGACAGUCCUAAGGAUUGUAAACUUCUUUUAUACGGGAAUAACGGGCGAUACGAGUAUUGCAUUGAAUGUACCGUAAGAAUAAGCAUCGGCUAACUCCGUGCCAGCAGCCGCGGUAAUACGGAGGAUGCGAGCGUUAUCCGGAUUUAUUGGGUUUAAAGGGUGCGUAGGUUGUUCGGUAAGUCAGCGGUGAAACCUGAGCGCUCAACGUUCAGCCUGCCGUUGAAACUGCCGGGCUUGAGUUCAGUGGCGGCAGGCGGAAUUCGUGGUCUAGCGGUGAAAUGCAUAGAUAUCACGAGGAACUCCGAUUGCGAAGGCAGCUUGCCAUACUGCGACUGACACUGAAGCACGAAGGCGUGGGUAUCAAACAGGAUUAGAUACCCUGGUAGUCCACGCAGUAAACGAUGAUUACUAGGAGUUUGCGAUAUACCGUCAAGCUUCCACAGCGAAAGCGUUAAGUAAUCCACCUGGGGAGUACGCCGGCAACGGUGAAACUCAAAGGAAUUGACGGGGCCCGCACAAGCGGAGGAACAUGUGGUUUAAUUCGAUGAUACGCGAGGAACCUUACCCGGGAUUGAAAUGUAGAUGACGGAUGGUGAAAACCGUCUUCCCUUCGGGGCGUCUAUGUAGGUGCUGCAUGGUUGUCGUCAGCUCGUGCCGUGAGGUGUCGGCUUAAGUGCCAUAACGAGCGCAACCCACAUCGGUAGUUGCUAACAGU